AUUCUAUGUUGCGGGCAUUUCCUCAACAUCUCCUUGUAUCUCUCCAAAGUGUCAUAAAAGGAUUCAUACUCCAACUAUAGGAAAGAAGAGAUAUCACUCCUCAACUU